rnacentral:rRNA from 1 species
UACGAGAGCUCCAAGCGUUAUCCGGAAUUAUUGGGCGUAAAGCGCGCGUAGGCGGUUACUCAAGUCGGAUGUGAAAGCCCUCGGCUUAACUGAGGAAGUGCACCCGAAACUGAGUAGCUAGAGUACCAAAGAGGGUCGCGGAAUUCCCGGUGUAGAGGUGAAAUUCGUAGAUAUCGGGAGGAACACCGGUGGCGAAGGCGGCGACCUGGGUGGAUACUGACGCUGAGGCGCGAAAGCGUGGGGAGCAAACAGG